rnacentral:rRNA from 1 species
CACGUAGGGUGCGAGCGUUGUCCGGAAUUAUUGGGCGUAAAGAGCUCGUAGGCGGUGUGUCGCGUCGGCCGUGAAAACCUGCAGCUUAACUGUGGGCGUGCGGGCGAUACGGGCAGACUGGAGUACUGCAGGGGAGACUGGAAUUCCUGGUGUAGCGGUGGAAUGCGCAGAGAUCGGGAGGAACACCAGAGGCGAAGGCGGCGACCUGGACAGGCACUGACACUCAACUACGAAAGCGUGGGGAGCAAACAGG